rnacentral:rRNA from 1 species
CCUACGGGUGGCAGCAGUGGGGAAUAUUGGUCAAUGGACGCAAGUCUGACCCAGCAACGCCGCGUGAAGGAAGAAGGCUUUCGGUUUGUAAACUUCUUUUAAGCAGGAAGCGAAGAAGACGGUACCCCUUGAAUAAGCCACGGCUAACUACGGGCCAGCAGCCGCGGUCAUACGUAGGUGGAAAGCGUUGUCCGGAUUUACUGGGUGUAAAGGGCGUGCAGCCGGUCCGACAAGUCAGAUGUGAAAUCCGCGGGCUUAACCCGCGAACUGCAUUUGAAACUAUCGGUCUUGAGUGCCGGAGAGGUAAUCGGAAUGCCCGGUGUAGCGGUGAAAUGCGUAGAUAUAAGGAAGAACACCAGUGGCGAAGGCGGAUUACUGGACGGUAACUGACGGUGAGGCGCGAAAGCGUGGGGAGCAAACAGGAUUAGAUACCCCAGUAGUC